GGUGCAGAGCACGCAGAGUCCUUCUGUCGGUUGGUCCUGGAGCGGCGCAGCCGGAGUGGGGCCGUGAGGAGAAUAAAGGCAGCCCCGUUGAUGACUGAAAAUGACAAAGCAUCCACCUAACAGACGAGGAAUCAGCUUUGAAGUGGGAGCCCAGUUGGAAGCCCGGGACCGUUUAAAAAACUGAAUACAGUUGAGUUUUGCCAAAUUUGACAGUUCACGCAAGCCCCACCACAAUCAAGAUAUGGGCCGGGAAUGGUGACUCAUGCCUAUAAUCCCAGCACCUUGGGAGGACAACGUGGGAGGAUUGCUUGAGCCCAGGAGUUCAAGACAAGCCUAAGCAACAUAAUGGGACUUCGUCUCUCAAAA
rnacentral:lncRNA from 1 species